CCUACGGGAGGCAGCAGUGGGGAAUAUUGGUCAAUGGGAGAGAUCCUGAACCAGCCACGCCGCGUGAGGGAAGACGGCCCUAUGGGUUGUAAACCUCUUUUGUCGGAGAACAAAACCCGGGACGAGUCCAGGACUGCGUGUAUCCGAAGAAAAAGCAUCGGCUAACUCCGUGCCAGCAGCCGCGGAAAUACGGGGGAUGCGAGCGUUAUCCGGAUUUAUUGGGUUUAAAGGGUGCGUAGGCGGUCUGUUAAGUCAGCGGUAAAAGUGCGGGGCUCAACCCGGUCGAGCCGUUGAAACUGGCAGACUUGAGUGGGCGAGAAGUACGCGGAAUUCGCGGUGUAGCGGUGAAAUGCGUAGAUAUCGCGCAGAACUCCGAUGGCGAAGGCAGCGUACCGGCGCCAGACUGACGCUGAGGCACGAAAGCGUGGGGAUCGAACAGGAUUAGAUACCCCUGUAGUC
rnacentral:rRNA from 1 species